rnacentral:rRNA from 1 species
UACGGAGGGUGCAAGCGUUAUCCGGAUUCACUGGGUUUAAAGGGUGUGUAGGCGGAUAUUUAAGUCAGUGGUGAAAUCUCUGGGCUCAACUCAGAAACUGCCAUUGAUACUAUUUAUCUUGAAUAUCGUUGAGGUUGGCGGAAUAUAUCAUGUAGCGGUGAAAUGCAUAGAUAUGAUAUAGAACACCGAUUGCGAAGGCAGCUAACUAAACGAUUAUUGACGCUGAGGCACGAAAGCGUGGGGAUCAAACAGG